GCUGUGGUGAGGCAGUCCCGCUUCCUGCUGUGGUGAGGUGCUGUCAGAGCUCUUGUUUUGAGCUGGAGGAAUCCUGGCUCUGCCAGAUAGCAGCUGGGUGACCUGGCAAGUCACGUCCUGCUUCGGUUUUCUCGUCUGCAAAGACAGUGCCCAGCUUCAGGUUUGUGAAGACUGAGUGAAGCCAGCACACAAAAACCACUUACCAUGGAUUGCCACAACCAAGCUCUUGGAACUGAUGCCAUUAAGAAAAGCAAAGAAAGAACCCAACUUUCCCUGCUAAUUUUGCAGUGAAAAUGCAAUUAAACAAACGGAAGGAAGAUAUCUUGGAAAAUUCACAUGGAACUUGCAUUUACCUCCUUACUCUCCAUCCUCUAGUGACUGAAUUGUAAAUGCCAAAAGAAGAAAUCUGUCAGAAAUCAAAUGUUCAAUCAUAAUGUGUAUAAUAAGACAAAAUUUCUACCUGCAAACAAGUUGACCCCUUAAUACGUAAAAAGGAAAUUGAUGGACUCGUUAUUUUAGGAGGAGAAGCACACACCACACCUUGCACUGGAUGAAAGGGCGCAAAAGCACAAAGAUGGGUAUUCGGGUCCGCACGAUGAAGUCGAGGAAGUCCCAAAGGGCCAGGCCUCCCACCUUCCGCAGAGCCAUCUCCUUCACCUGGAGGCUCAGCCAGUACCACUGGCUUCCGAGCUGCCUCUCAAAGCAGACGAGAAUCACCUUCAGUGCUUCACACCAGGAAAAGAGAAAAGUGAACCUGCAGAUCUGUGCUUCAGAGGAACCCAACCUACAUUCACAGCCCUUUUUGCACCUUUAUAAAUUUUCUAAACCUCUAAACUCUCCAUGUUUCUAAAAACUUCAUAUGCAUUCCUGAGAAAGAGCAUGCUGGACAUCGAGUCAAAAAUGUGUAUGGUGUUUUGAUUCUGAUGAAGAGAACCCAGAUAUUUUUCUUAAGUGCUUUGAACUACUAAUUUGGAAAAUAUAGAACAAUGUGGUCCACUGAAUUGAAAGGAAACUGUUUUAUCAACAUGAUGUGUGGCUAAGGUUUUACCUUCCACAAGUUUAAUCAUAAUGACUUUAUGGUAAUAAUGGGCAUAUCACUCACAUUCUUAGC